rnacentral:sRNA from 1 species
GGAGAAUAACCGGCACCUAAACGAGUUGAGAAGUGACUUACGGGAGAAGAAGAGUGUUAUAUUCAGUCAAGGCUUGAAGAUUGAUAUGUUGGAAUCCCAACUUAGUCAACGUCAGACAGAAUUUGAAUACCGAUCUGCCAAUGCAGCCGCAAAUUCUUUCACAAGAAAAGGUUUGUGUUGCAAUAUUGUUCAACGAACAUACCCCGAUUUUCAGAUCACGGAAAACUCUACCAUUGCUUCGAUAUUAAGAACCAGGAUUCGACGUCUGUAAG